CAGAAUUAGAGGGGAAAGAAGGCCUUGUUGAGCUUGACUCUAGUUCGACUUUGUGAAAUGACUUGAGAGGUGUAGUAUAAGGGGGAUACGAAAGGGAAAAGUGAAAUACCACUACUUAUAAUGUUAUUUUACUUAUUUUGUGAAUCAAAAGUGGGGCACUACCCCUCUUUUUUAACCCAAGGCUCGCUCUGCAUGCUAAUCCAGGAAGAAGAUAUUGUUAGGCGGGGAGUUUGGCUGAGGUGGCAUAUCUGCUAAAAGAUAAUGUCGGUGUCCUAAGAUAAGCUCAACAAGAACAAAAAUAUCGUGUGGAACAGAAGGUUAAAAGCUCGUUUGAUUCUGAUUUACAGUACGAAUAUGAACCAUGAAAGUGUGGCCAAAUGAUCCUUUACACCUUCAUAAUUCGAAGCUUGAAGUGUCAAAAAUGUUGCUACAGGGAUAACUGGAUUUUUGAAGCCAAGCGUUCAUAGCGACGUUGCUUUUUGUUCCUUUGAUGUCGGCUCUUCCUUUCAUUGUGAAUCAGAAUUCACCAAGUGUUGGAUUGUUCACCCACCAAUAAGGAACGUGAGCUGGGUUUAGAUCAUGGUGAGAUAGAUUAGGUUUACCCUAUUAAUGAAAGUUUCUUAAUAUUAAUUCAACCUAGUAUGAAAGGAACCGUUGAUUCGCAUAAUCAGUCAACGCUCUUAGUUAAAAUGCAAGUGGCGCAAAAAUACCGUGUGCUGGAUUAUGACUGAAUGCCUCUAAUUAAGAAUCCAGGCUAGAAUCAACACAUGCGCCCUUCGUCCAUUUGUCGACAUGCAGUAGGGGCCUCGGCGCCUAAUGGUAUGUGUCGUUGGAUAAUCCAUUGUGGCGAAAAUUUUGCGGUGGUCGCCUUUAAGUACAAUUUUCAUCGAGUGGCGAGUAGAAUCCUUUGCAGAUGACUUAAAUACCCGACCGGGUAUUAUAAGAGCUGAGUGGCCUUGCUUUCAUAAUCUACAGAGAUUUAGCCCUUUGUUGCUCCGGUUU
rfam:Capsicum annuum cultivar Zunla-1 chromosome 6, whole genome shotgun sequence